CAGCAUGGAGAGCAGAGCGCAAAGAUUUCUUCCGGACUCCCACAUUCCCCUUGGAAUCCAAGAACUGGUCUACUGUCACAACACUUUAGUACCCUCUUCUCCCAAGGAGGCAGCAGAAACUGGGGUAAUCACAACGGUCAACAGCAGCAAAGGCAGCACUUUCUGAUUUACUUGACUGCUAUGGAUGCCACCUCUCUCCACGCCUCAGUUUAAUAUCUCAAGACCACCUAGGUUGGCUGUCCCUUGGCAGAAGGGGAUCCUCUCAAGGGAGCUUCUCUACAAGACCCUCUCCUUCUGGUCCAGGACCUGAAAGCCUCUGAAGUUCACUCCUUCGGCCCCACUCCCUUCCUGCUGCCUUUGGGCUCUCCUCAUGUGACUCUGCCUGUUGAAACUGUCUGCUAGCUGGCCCAGCAUCUCCAGGCAUGGCCUCACUCAUCCACCUCUCCCUUGCUGAAGGUCUCCUCAUGUAACACACGAUUCCUUUAGAUGGUCCUUCAUCACCAGCAAGAUGAAACCUAAAUUCAUUGGCAUGGUAGACAAAACUCUAGCCUUGCCUCCCAGAGGCCAGUCUCUGUCUCCGCCACUCCCCAGGUGGACUGCAUUGUGUUUCUGCUGCCAUAAACAUAAUUUAUUCUGACUGGAACAUCUUCUGUGCAUGUCUGCAGAGUGCACUUCACUCCCCCUGCAGUUCAAGCAUCCUUCCUCCACAAAGCCUUUUCUUUUGAUCACUGCAGGACCUGUAAAAGCUAUCCUGGGAUAGCCUGUAUUUACUGGACUGAAAUGAUCUGUUUGCCUAUCAAUUUCCCCAAAUGAUAUAUGGCAAGGAGUAGUUGAAUCUAAGAGCAGAUCUCAAAGCCUAUGUCCUUUCCAUUGCCUUGUACCCUGCUC
rnacentral:lncRNA from 10 species